UUUCAUUAACUUAUUACCAUGAAGCUCAUUAACUUUGACAAGAAAAAGCAAAUUAUUGGGCAAUUUUAUUUAAAAUGCUCAUUUUUAAAUAAUGGGCAUCAAUUUUUAUUUAAAAGCAUAAUAAAACAUUUAGAUAUGAAAUUUGGUCACUGAUAACAGAUGAUACCUGCUGGUGCUAAAUGCUUAGAAAUUUUAUUUCAUUUUUUUAAAGAUGGAAUAACUCAAGUAUGUUCUCUUUUUUACUAGUACAUAUAUGUACUUUUACAGAAUAUGUCUUGUGUUGUGACUGAAAUUUAUAUUUUUUGUAUAAACAUGCUUGCAAAAUGUCUUAGUCUCGGCACCACUUGAAUUUUAAAUAAUUUUUUCUAGAAUUACCAGAAAAUGAAUUAUAUCAAAGCAUUGACAAAUUUGGUAGGAUAGAUUCAAGUAUCAAAUUGUUCAGAUCAUUGCUACAAGUAAUUAUGUUAUACACGUACAUAAAUUAAGCGUGCAUAUAAUUUCUACCUCAUUAUCUAACCUCCCUUAGACACUUGUAUUUCAAGUUGAUGUUUCAACUCAUGGAUCUACAUGUAUAGAGCAAUAAUUACUGGGAAGAUAUUUUUGUAGCAUCCAGUCUUUUUAAAGUUUAAAUCCUUCAUUUGAUCUCAAAUAAAACUCAUUUUAUAUAGUAGGGCAUUUACCAAACGCAUGAAGGAUUUGAUAUUUGUUGAAUUUGACAUUUUUUUUAGUUUCGGUAAUUGCAUGAGUUAUGUAACCCUAGAUGAUAGAAUUCAGAUUAUGAAUACGACAAAUUAUAUAUUGUUGUGAUAAUUACGUCCAAUGAAUAGUGCUAUGUGACCUUCUGAAAGUUUCCUCGACAUUAUAUACUUGUCAUAUAUAGCUACACGAAUGUGAGAAAUACUGAAUAUUCAAACAAAUAACAAUUUCACAAACUAUUAAAUUCAUGUUUUAUGAAUGGCACCAAUAACGUUUGAUAGUUGAAUUCAGACAACCAUAUGCAAAGCUUGAUGUCCAGUUGAGAUACAUAAACACCGAUAUUUAAUUAAACUCUUAUAAAUCUUUUAUAAUUCUGAUGUAGAUUUGAUAGCUGUACAUGUUGAUUGGCAUUUUAUAUUCCUGCUCAUUCAAUGUACAAUUUUUUGUAUGAUCAUCUUUUAACAAAAAUUACAGAAAAUGAAUUUUCUCGUGUAUCAAUACUGUAUCUAUUAUGUUAUCUAUUUUGAAUAAUUAUGCUAAAUGCUUAGUAUAAUAAUUAAUAAGCAUGCCUUUUUUGCAGUAAUGAUGUUGAAUAAACUUGUUUUCAAACAGAU
rnacentral:misc_RNA from 1 species